GAUGAAGAACGCAGCGAAAUGCGAUAAGUAAUGUGAAUUGCAGAAUUCAGUGAAUCAUCGAAUCUUUGAACGCACAUUGCGCCCGCCAGUAUUCUGGCGGGCAUGCCUGUUCGAGCGUCAUUUCAACCCUCAAGACCCCUUCGGGGGACUUGGUGUUGGGGACCGGCACAGGGGCCUGCCUGCUUGUCUUGCAGCGCCCUCGCGGCCCCCGAAAUGAAUUGGCGGCCUCGUCGCGGCCUCCCCUGCGUAGUAGCACAACCUCGCAACGGGAACGUGACGGCGGCCACUGCCGUAAAACAACCCAAUUUUAUUAGAGUUGACCUCGAAUCAGGUAGGAAUACCCGCUGAACUUAAGCAUAUCAAUAAGCGGAGGA
rnacentral:misc_RNA from 1 species